rnacentral:rRNA from 1 species
GAUGAACGCUGGCGGCGUGCCUAAUACAUGCAAGUCGAGCGAACAGAUGAGGAGCUUGCUCCUCUGACGUUAGCGGCGGACGGGUGAGUAACACGUGGAUAACCUACCUAUAAGACUGGGAUAACUUCGGGAAACCGGAGCUAAUACCGGAUAAUAUAUUGAACCGCAUGGUUCAAUAGUGAAAGACGGUUUUACUGUCACUUAUAGAUGGAUCCGCGCCGCAUUAGCUAGUUGGUAAGGUAACGGCUUACCAAGGCGACGAUGCGUAGCCGACCUGAGAGGGUGAUCGGCCACACUGGAACUGAGACACGGUCCAGACUCCUACGGGAGGCAGCAGUAGGGAAUCUUCCGCAAUGGGCGAAAGCCUGACGGAGCAACGCCGCGUGAGUGAUGAAGGUCUUCGGAUCGUAAAACUCUGUUAUUAGGGAAGAACAAAUGUGUAAGUAACUAUGCACGUCUUGACGGUACCUAAUCAGAAAGCCACGGCUAACUACGUG